GAACAGAGCCAUCCAGCAUGAGUCAUUCAUGUUUCAUGGACUUAGAAUUCCUGGCUUCUGCUUGCCUCGGCCUUUCCCAUGGCCACGGGACAGCACGCAGGGCCUGUCUGCAGAGCUCCUACCAGGGUUCCAGUGCCACCGUGAGAUGCAAAGACACAGUCACUGAAUCCACACCUUCACUCUGUGGGGCACUCAGAUGCAGCAGAUGAAGCUGAAGAAGAUCAAGGGGGAACGAACAAGCGAGCAACCGCAGAGUUGUGUGUGGAGCCAGGGAUCCGACUCGAGCCUGCCUUCCAUGUCUUUGCUGGGUGACCUCAGGCCGCCAUGAAGCCUUGCUGCUUCUCUGCUUCCUGGUGGGCGAAGGAGUCUUCUGGAAGACUUCCCUCUCACCAGAAACCAGCAUAGGCCUAGUUUAGGAUUUAGCAAAGCCAUAACACAGUCUACUAGCCAAGGUCAAGGGACUCCCAUGGGAAACAGCCCAGCAUCAGGCUCUGGCAAACUGGCCACUUCUCUGUAUUCCUCGAGUCAUGGGACAGAAACAGAAGCUUGUGCAGGGGAGCAGGCACCCUCCCACCCACUGAGCCACAUCCCCAGCCCGUUCCCUACAGCUGAGACAGUCUCCUGUGGCCCUGGCUAGCAUUAGUAGCUGAGGAUGACCUUGAACUCCUGAUCCUCCUGCUUCUACCUUGCAAGUGCUGGGGUUACAGAUGCUCAUCACCCUGACUGUUACCCAGGUGGCAUUGAAUUCCUGGUCUCAACAGACUUCCUUCCUCUACCUGCUGAGUAACUGGGAUUAUAGGCAGGUACUUCCAUGCCUGGCCUGACUGAGGCCUAUUAAAAAAAUCAUUUUUUAUGGU